rnacentral:lncRNA from 1 species
GACGAGGAGUUAGAUUUUGGGCUCGACGGGAGGACGAUCUAGCUAGUCGGCAGUAGCGACCGUCACUCUGGUUAUAUUUCUUCCCGCAUUUAGUAGUUGUUAAUAAUAAAUGGUUCAGUUAGAUGUUUGAAUGUUUGUGAUUUCCGUUAUGCAUGAUUAGAGAUUUUGUGGAUCACUAGUUUUGGUUUUAUGGAUAUUCAGUUCUCGGAUUUGUGUAUUUAUACAUAUUUACGCAUCGUGGUUUUCUACCCCUAUAGGUAGUUGAUUUUUAAAAUAGAGUUUCCGUGUGGAAAACAGUUUUAAAAAGAUUUUCGAAUGGUUUCAUGAAUGAAUGAAUUAGAGUUUAAAAACAAAAGCUUCCGUGUGGGGAGCACUUUUAAAUAGGAUGUUUGUUGUAUUGUGCAUUGCAUCAUCCAGCGCCCAAGGAGUGCUUAGAGACAUGCAUCAUCUCUAAGAAUCGUUAGCUGUAUGAAAAUACAUAUCAUGAAUUGGUUGUUGAUUGGUAAUGUAGGUUGUGGUUGAGAUCCUGUUGUAUAGUUGGUACGCCGUGCAAAUAUAAAGGAGACUCUGUCCGAGUGGACAGAGGAACUUUGUAUUUGUGGCGGAUCUGUACAUCACGUGGGCCAAAAAAAAAAAAAAAUUUUGGCACGUCUUCCGCAGCUCUGUUUCAAAAUGGUAAUGAAUUAUAAAAAGGCUUUUAAAAUCGGUCCCGGGGCAUGACAUAUUAAGAUGGUAUCAGAGACUGAAACAACUACAACUACAUUUACAAGUUUUCUAACUGAACCACUGGUUAGGUUGACCCAUAAGAAGACCUAAGGCAUAUAGGCACGCGAGUGCGGUGCAUUGGGUUUGAGUCCCGGUGUGUUUGUAUGUCGAAUCGAUUGGUUCACUUGACGGUGUUUUCUGUUGCAGAUGGUUCGUGGUAGACCCCCUCGUCCGGGUCGUGGUGGUGGACGUGCUGGUGCGGAGACAUCCGGCAGUACUCGUGCUUCUCCAAGUGGGGGUGCUGGGGAGCAGUUGGGCACGGAGCCGCUGCGUAGUACUCGCACCCAGCAGCUCGAGGCCCAGGUAGCUGAUUUGAGGGGUCAGCUGACGACCCUCUCUGGUUUGUUUCGGCAGUUCUUGCAGCAGCAGGCUGCGGCUACUGCUACCUUAGUCCCACCUCCGGCACAGGACACUCCGGUGAACGCGGAUCCUCCCGCGACGCACGCGCCUGCCGUAGCUCCAGUCGUGACUACCACGACGGCAACGGCCACCACGACGGUUUCCGCUGGGGGUACUGAUACCCCUGCAACGGAAGGCGCCCGCAUUAGGGCAAGGCUGAAAGAGCGACAACGCCUGGGUGAUCGAGCAUUGGGUUACUCACAUGGAGAAACUGUUUCGUGAUCUACACAUCGAGGAGCUGGAUCGCGUCCCUCUAGCUACUCACUGUCUUGAGAGGGAUGCGUAUUCGUGGUGGAUCAGCCACUUCGAGCGCAAACUUAGGAGCAUCUAUCCAAGCUGGGAGGAGUUCUGGAGACUCCUUUACGAGCAGUACUUCAAGGAAAGCACUAAGCAGAGUCUGGAGUGCGAGCUAGAGCGUUUCAAGCAAGACAGUCGUACCGUAGCAGAGUAUAAGCGAGACUUCUCUCGUUUUAUUUCACUAAUUCCAUUCGUGGUUCGUGAUGAGUAUCACAAGGCUAGGCUGUUCGCAAGAGGGCUAAGGCCCAGAAUUCGACUUCUUAUCGCGUCCCAUGGCGCUUUGACGUUCGACGAGAGUCUGGAUCGGGCACUGAUGGUGCAGAAUGAUAUAGAUGAGGCUCAAAUCGAACAAGAUGCAUUCGAGAAGACUAAGGAUAGGAAGCGAGCACAGGAGAGUUUUCUUGGUGGUCAAUCGAGCAAUGGGCGACCACCCAAGCAUCGCAAGACGCAGUCCGGAUCGAGCAGUCCCCGGCUACAUCUCAAAGGCAAAGCACCCCACCUUGUGUCUUCUGUGGCAAGGCUCAUAGAGUUUAUGAGUGCCCAAAGCGCCACAAUCGUUGUUACAAGUGUGGCCAACGCGGACAUCUUAAGGCAGAUUGCACCAAUGGAGCAGGAUCAGAGUCUGCAGCAGCAUCUACUCCAGCAGCUCCAUGGCAGGAUCGUGGCAGUACGGCGCACCCUUCGUCUGGACGUCCAUCGUUAUCCUGUCAAGUAAAGGAGGUACACCAGACAACUGACAGACGCGCCUACAUGAUGACACGUCAGGAAGAUGAUCAGUUGGCUGACGUGGUCGCAGGUAUAAUUUUGUUUAUCGUAGUAAACAGCAUGUUUUUCGUUUUAAUGCAUCUCCUCCUGGCAUUGCAUGCAUGUAUUGUUCUAGUUCGUUGUGUAUCGGAUCACCCCUGCCUGUGAGCAAGUUUCGGGGAUGAAACUUUCUUUAAGGGGGGGAUGAUGAAAGGACCGAGAUUUUGGCAGUGUAGCUAAACUCUCAGUCGACAAUGUUUUUGUGUGUAAUUUAAUUACAAAAGCACUCGUCAUGUUUCGGGAGAAAACGAGUUAGAACGGAGAUUCUACGCGAUUUCCAAGUUUCACGUAAAGUGAAUAGUAACUUGGUUUUCCGGAGAGCUCAAUGCGUAGAGUUGGCUUCUGGCUCGUACCGGACUCCGUUCAUAGCAGUCCAAUAGCUCGUUUCGACCGGUUCAACUGUUCUGUAACUAAUGGCGCUGACGGAUUUUGAGUUUGAUGCACGGAUUUCGAGAAAAUCCGAAAAUAUGUGUUUUAUAUGUAUUUGUGCGUAGUUCUUCUGUUGGAGAGAUGGAUCGGAUUUCAUCGUAAAUCCGCGACCGAUCGAGGUGAAACGAAAUCGUAGCUUUGUUGUCUCUGUCGUGCUGAUCGCACUGGUGCGAUCCGUUCGCAAAUCUGACCGACGGAUUUGCGGAGAUCGUCAGUUGUUCGAGGAGAGGUCGGUGAUGGCAAAACGGUAUUUCCGCAAAAGUUGCGACAUUUAUGUACCGUUUCCCGUGAAACUGGACGUGGAGGGGUACUCGCGUGUUUUACAUGCGCUGUGGAGGACUCAAUAUAAAAUAUCGAGUUUUGGGAGGGCUUUUCCGCAACUGGAGCCUUUAUAUAUAUUUAGCUCCUAGGAUUUUUGAUCCACCUAACCCUAACCCUAGCCCGAGCAAACCCCUCAGCCGUCUCCCUUGGUUGCCCUGCCCUUGUUGCGCCCCUCCCGGCCGCCGCCAACCGAGCCCCGGCCGGCAGCCAGCACCUCAGCCUCCAUCUUCCACAUCACUGUAGCUCUCUCUCUCCCUCUCUUCCUCACCUCUCGGGUUAAAGGAAGCCCGCGGUUGAUCUCCUCUCCGGCAUCACCCCCGCAGCCUCGGCAACCUCCCCCGCCGCCUGUCGCCAUCGCCUAGUGCCGCCGCUGCCGCCCAGGCUGGUUGCUGCCGCCUAGGACAGGGCUUGGCCGAGCUAAGUUCCAGAAGUAGCCCGCGCGCCGCCGUCACCUGAGACCGCUUCCGUCGCCCUUCCCGGACCCUCGGCAUCCCUUCCCACCGGUCACCACCGCCUCUGUGGGCCGCCGCCGCCUCUGUCAACCGCUGCAGCCCAGAUCUGCUCGGGCAGAGCCGAGUUUAGCUGUUAGCCUCGCACCGCCACCCUCGCGCCGCCGCUGCCCGAAGCCACCUCCUCGGCUUCCCUCCGGCCUCCUGCAACCCUCUGCCGCCGUCCCUGAGUGUCCCGGCCGCCGCCGUCGCCGCAGUUGCCCGUGGAACCCGAGCCCUAGCUAGUGCGGGCUCGAUUUGCUCCGCCGUCGCCACCGCCGCUCUCCGCCGCCAACCGAGGUGAGCACCAUACUCCUCACCUCCCCCGUACCCAUCCCUGGCCCCCGUGCGUGCCGUCGUGCCACCGGAAGCCAGCCGGAGCAAGCUUGCUCCGGCCGAGCCUGAAAUAGGGCUUAGUUGAGUAGGUUUAUUGUUCUGAUCUUCUCGAGGCCUCUCGAUCAAUACGGAAGGGAGCACGAUGAUUGUGACUCAUUGCUGAUCAUCGUGCUCACCUUAGUUUCUGUCGGGGAGACUCCUUUCCGCUGUUUCGACGGUGUCGCUCCGUUAGAGCUUCUUGGCUGCUGUUUCAGGAUUAUACGCAUUUUUACGGCGACCCGAGGCUGUUCCGAUGCCUCUGGAGGUGAGCACGGUGAUAGUGGAUCAGUACUGAUCACAGUGCUCACCUUAUUUUGGAUCAACGGAUGUCGUAUCGUUCUGUUUAGUGCGUUUUUCCCCGACUGCGCGCUAUUCGCAGAAUUUUCGGGUUGCUCCCGCACUUCCCACAAUGAGCUUUUGUGCUCCAGGCCAUGAGCACGGCCUCCGGCACGUCGAGACCUGUCAGUACUGUCUCGGCGGAACUUAUAAGUCCUCGGUUUGUGAGAACGAGCCAUAGAAGUCGCCCGAUUUACAUAAAAUAAUGGAUUUUAUGUAAACAUAGGGACUUUUAUGCAUUUGUACACCUUGAGGCUACUGUGGGCAGUGCGUUGGUGUGUGUGGUGACCUUCGGACUGAUUGUCCAUGAUCUGAUAGCUUUUGCGAAAAUCGAAAAGUCGAUUCCGGCGUAUUUUUUGGCGAAAUUCGCCGAAAGAACGCGGUUUCGGUUCGGAUUUCUUCCGACGUGGUUUGGUUAUCCCGUAAAUUAUCGCUGAACCUUGUUGGCUGGUCACCAUCAUCAUUUUGUGGGUUCGAUGAUGAUGGGUAAGCGACGGUGGGUUCCGGUGUCGAAAUAGACACUUUCGUGAACCCGAAUACGUACAAUUAUCUGGCGAUAAUUGUGUAGUGGGUUAUCUUGUGUUUGCUGCCAAAACAUCCAAAUCGGAGUGUUUUGGGGCAGCAGGUGACUCGUGACACGAGUCGGUGAGUUUCGGGACACUUAGUGGGUCCCGACGGCGUUCCGGUGUGGUUUUCGGGACUUCCGGUGAGUUACGGUGAUCGGUUUUGGAAAACCGAUUACGGGGAUCUUGUGUGGGGGGUUUGUGAGUUUCGUGCUUUGGGUUAGUGGUUUGGAUACUGACCUGGUGGAUCUUCUUAGGUCCGGUAGACGCUGUGCGUACCCAGUGUUCCGACGCGAUAGUGACAAGUGGGUGCUUCGAGUUGGUAGUCGGUGAGAUCGUUUCACCCUUCCUCUGUUCUUUCAUAUCAGUAUCGUAGUCUCUACAUGUCAGCUGAUUGUUUAUCGUUUGUUUAUCGUAUCUCAUUGAUUACAUUUGGAUAGUUGUGGAUAGACAUGUGGAGCAGGUUGCAUAUAUAUUGUAUCUCUGUGGACCUUGGGUCCAGGCAACACAUCGACUCCUUCGUCGUGUGUUUCGAUCUGGUUGAUCGUAGUUCGGCGUUGUACACCCUUGCACCUGGCUUCGGCCAUGGCACCGGUCUCUUUUUGCGGGUUUUCAUUUUGAGCAUAUCAGCAUGAUUUAGUCACAGCACUGUAUAUUCUAGACACCAGGUUGGUUUGGCCACCAACCAAGGGGUAUACGUAUCCAGAUAGGUCGUCGGUGAUGCUUGAAUAAGUUGGCAGUGUCUGCUCUGUGAUAGGUAACGCUUGAGGUCUGCGGACCAAUAUAGCAGCAUCAGAUUGGGUUUGGUUUGGACUAUUUACCCUUGAGGCAUCCGAUCAGUUGAGUUUUUGCUUACAAUAGUAGUUUCGUUCUUGCUCAGUUAUUAUCCUGUUUCUAUUACUACUGUAGUUGCUCUUAUAUCACAUCAUGCUCAUAUCUGUAGUUCUGUUUCAUAUCAGCAUAUACAUUUAUUUAUCUAUCUCCUUUGGUUUCCGGUGAUUACGGCUUGCCUUCGUGGCUUUGUCGUACCCACUGAGAAACCAUGAUUGCGGUUUCUCACCCCCCUUUCCCCCCAAGGUGACUUGGACGAGGAGUUAGAUUUUGGGCUCGACGGGAGGAUGAUCUAGCUAGUCGGCAGUAGCGACCGUCACCCUGGUUAUAUUUCUUCCCGCAUUUAGUAGUUGUUAAUAAUAAAUGGUUCAGUUAGAUAUUUGAAUGUUUGUGAUUUCCGUUAUCCAUGAUUAGAGAUUUUGUGGAUCACUGGUUUUGGUUUUAUGGAUAUUCAGUUCUCAGAUUUGUGUAUUUAUACAUAUUUACGCAUCGUGGUUUUCUACCCCUCGAGGUAGUUGAUUUUCAAAAUAGAGUUUCCGUGUGGAAAACAGUUUUAAAAAGGUUUUCGAAUGGUUUUCAUGAAUGAAUGAAUUAGAGUUUAAAAAUAAAAGCUUCCGUGUGGGGAGCACUUUUAAAUAGGAUAUUUGUUGUAUUGUGCAUUGCAUCAUCCAGCGCCUAAGGAGUGCUUAGAGGCAUGCAUCAUCUCUAAGGAUCGUUAGCUGUA